rnacentral:rRNA from 1 species
AGAGUUUGAUUCUGGCUCAGGAUGAACGCUGGCGGCAUGCCUAAUACAUGCAAGUCGAACGAAGUCUUCAGGAAGCUUGCUUCCAAAAAGACUUAGUGGCGAACGGGUGAGUAACACGUAGGUAACCUGCCCAUGUGUCCGGGAUAACUGCUGGAAACGGUAGCUAAAACCGGAUAGGUAUACGGAGCGCAUGCUCUGUAUAUUAAAGCGCCCAUCAAGGCGUGAACAUGGAUGGACCUGCGGCGCAUUAGCUAGUUGGUGAGGUAACGGCCCACCAAGGCGAUGAUGCGUAGCCGGCCUGAGAGGGUAAACGGCCACAUUGGGACUGAGACACGGCCCAAACCCCUACGGGAGGCAGCAGUAGGGAAUUUUCGUCAAUGGGGGAAACCCUGAACGAGCAAUGCCGCGUGAGUGAAGAAGGUCUUCGGAUCGUAAAGCUCUGUUGUAAGUGAAGAACGGCUCAUAGAGGAAAUGCUAUGGGAGUGACGGUAGCUUACCAGAAAGCCACGGCUAACUACGUGCCAGCAGCCGCGGUAAUACGUAGGUGGCAAGCGUUAUCCGGAAUCAUUGGGCGUAAAGGGUGCGUAGGUGGCGUACUAAGUCUGUAGUAAAAGGCAAUGGCUCAACCAUUGUAAGCUAUGGAAACUGGUAUGCUGGAGUGCAGAAGAGGGCGAUGGAAUUCCAUGUGUAGCGGUAAAAUGCGUAGAUAUAUGGAGGAACACCAGUGGCGAAGGCGGUCGCCUGGUCUGUAACUGACACUGAGGCACGAAAGCGUGGGGAGCAAAUAGGAUUAGAUACCCUAGUAGUCCACGCCGU